rnacentral:pre_miRNA from 1 species
UUGAUUUAAAUUAGUGUAGGUCUACACUUUGAAAAUUAAAUUCACACAAAGUGAUGAGACAUGCAUUGAUUUUAUCUAA